rnacentral:lncRNA from 1 species
GUACUAGAAUAUUUAUUUCACCAAAAUGCAAUACUUCCGGGGCAGGGAAGCUUGCCAAUGCAGUUCAUCUUUGGCACCGUAGCACCAAGGCGGUCAUGAAGAUUUUCCUCUAUGACGCCAAGACAUACAAGAAAAAAAUAGUAUGAAGAAAUAUGCUAUCCUAUUGGCUCACGUCAUCAUGGUCGCAAUAUGAUUAUUAGCUGGC